rnacentral:rRNA from 1 species
GACGAACGCUGGCGGCGUGCUUAACACAUGCAAGUCGAACGAAGAGCGAUGGAAGCUUGCUUCUAUCAAUCUUAGUGGCGAACGGGUGAGUAACGCGUAAUCAACCUGCCCUUCAGAGGGGGACAACAGUUGGAAACGACUGCUAAUACCGCAUACGAUCUAAUCUCGGCAUCGAGGAUAGAUGAAAGGUGGCCUCUACAUGUAAGCUAUCACUGAAGGAGGGGUUUGCGUCUGAUUAGCUAGUUGGAGGGGUAACGGCCCACCAAGGCGAUGAUCAGUAGCCGGUCUGAGAGGAUGAACGGCCACAAUGGGACUGAGACACGGCCCAGACUCCUACGGGAGGCAGCAGUGGGGAAUCUUCCGCAAAGGACGAAAGUCUGACGGAGCAACGCCGCGUGAGUGAUGACGGCCUUCGGGUUGUAAAGCUCUGUUAAUCGGGACGAAAGGCCUUCUUGCGAAUAGUGAGAAGGAUUGACGGUACCGGAAUAGAAAGCCACGGCUAACUACGUG